AGUCGUACGCUUCUUUUUCACCGGAGCUUGCUCCACCGGAAAAAGAAGAGUGGCGAACGGGUGAGUAACACGUGGGUAACCUGCCCAUCAGAAGGGGAUAACACUUGGAAACAGGUGCUAAUACCGUAUAACAAUCGAAACCGCAUGGUUUUGAUUUGAAAGGCGCUUUCGGGUGUCGCUGAUGGAUGGACCCGCGGUGCAUUAGCUAGUUGGUGAGGUAACGGCUCACCAAGGCCACGAUGCAUAGCCGACCUGAGAGGGUGAUCGGCCACAUUGGGACUGAGACACGGCCCAAACUCCUACGGGAGGCAGCAGUAGGGAAUCUUCGGCAAUGGACGAAAGUCUGACCGAGCAACGCCGCGUGAGUGAAGAAGGUUUUCGGAUCGUAAAACUCUGUUGUUAGAGAAGAACAAGGAUGAGAGUAACUGUUCAUCCCUUGACGGUAUCUAACCAGAAAGCCACGGCUAACUACGUGCCAGCAGCCGCGGUAAUACGUAGGUGGCAAGCGUUGUCCGGAUUUAUUGGGCGUAAAGCGAGCGCAGGCGGUUUCUUAAGUCUGAUGUGAAAGCCCCCGGCUCAACCGGGGAGGGUCAUUGGAAACUGGGAGACUUGAGUGCAGAAGAGGAGAGUGGAAUUCCAUGUGUAGCGGUGAAAUGCGUAGAUAUAUGGAGGAACACCAGUGGCGAAGGCGGCUCUCUGGUCUGUAACUGACGCUGAGGCUCGAAAGCGUGGGGAGCAAACAGGAUUAGAUACCCUGGUAGUCCACGCCGUAAACGAUGAGUGCUAAGUGUUGGAGGGUUUCCGCCCUUCAGUGCUGCAGCUAACGCAUUAAGCACUCCGCCUGGGGAGUACGACCGCAAGGUUGAAACUCAAAGGAAUUGACGGGGGCCCGCACAAGCGGUGGAGCAUGUGGUUUAAUUCGAAGCAACGCGAAGAACCUUACCAGGUCUUGACAUCCUUUGACCACUCUAGAGAUAGAGCUUCCCCUUCGGGGGCAAAGUGACAGGUGGUGCAUGGUUGUCGUCAGCUCGUGUCGUGAGAUGUUGGGUUAAGUCCCGCAACGAGCGCAACCCUUAUUGUUAGUUGCCAUCAUUUAGUUGGGCACUCUAGCAAGACUGCCGGUGACAAACCGGAGGAAGGUGGGGAUGACGUCAAAUCAUCAUGCCCCUUAUGACCUGGGCUACACACGUGCUACAAUGGGAAGUACAACGAGUCGCGAAGUCGCGAGGCUAAGCUAAUCUCUUAAAGCUUCUCUCAGUUCGGAUUGUAGGCUGCAACUCGCCUACAUGAAGCCGGAAUCGCUAGUAAUCGCGGAUCAGCACGCCGCGGUGAAUACGUUCCCGGGCCUUGUACACACCGCCCGUCACACCACGAGAGUUUUAACACCCGAAGUCGGUGAGGUAACCUUUGAGCC
rnacentral:rRNA from 1 species